UACGUAGGGGCCUAGCGUUGUCCGGAUUUAUUGGGCGUAAAGAGCUCGUAGGCGGUUCGUCGCGUCGGCUGUGAAAUCCCGAGGCUCAACCUCGGGUCUGCAGUCGAUACGGGCGGACUGGAGUACUGCAGGGGAGACUGGAAUUCCUGGUGUAGCGGUGAAAUGCGCAGAUAUCAGGAGGAACACCGGUGGCGAAGGCGGGUCUCUGGGCAGUUACUGACGCUGAGGAGCGAAAGCGUGGGGAGCGAACAGG
rnacentral:rRNA from 1 species